rnacentral:rRNA from 1 species
AUUGAACGCUGGCGGCAUGCCUUACACAUGCAAGUCGAACGGCAGCACGGGAGCAAUCCUGGUGGCGAGUGGCGAACGGGUGAGUAAUAUAUCGGAACGUGCCCAGUAGUGGGGGAUAACUGCUCGAAAGAGCAGCUAAUACCGCAUACGACCUAAGGGUGAAAGGGGGGGAUCGCAAGACCUCUCGCUAUUGGAGCGGCCGAUAUCAGAUUAGCUAGUUGGUGGGGUAAAGGCCUACCAAGGCAACGAUCUGUAGUUGGUCUGGGAGGACGACCAGCCACACUGGGACUGAGACACGGCCCAGACUCCUACGGGAGGCAGCAGUGGGGAAUAUUGGACAAUGGGCGCAAGCCUGAUCCAGCCAUGCCGCGUGAGUGAAGAAGGCCCUCGGGUUGUAAAGCUCUUUUGUCCGGAAAGAAAAGCGCCGGGUUAAUACCCUGGUGUCCUGACGGUACCGGAAGAAUAAGCACCGGCUAACUUCGUGCCAGCCGCCGCCGUAACAC